UCCUGACUGACCGAUAGUGAACCAGUACCGUGAGGGAAAGGCGAAAAGAACCCCGGCGAGGGGAGUGAAAAAGAACCUGAAACCGUGUACGUACAAGCAGUGGGAGCACAGGUUUACCUGUGUGACUGCGUACCUUUUGUAUAAUGGGUCAGCGACUUAUAUUCUGUAGCAAGGUUAACCGCAUAGGGGAGCCGGAGGGAAACCGAGUCUUAAUUGGGCGUUAAGUUGCAGGGUAUAGACCCGAAACCCGGUGAUCUAGCCAUGGGCAGGUUGAAGGUUGGGUAACACUAACUGGAGGACCGAACCGACUAAUGUUGAAAAAUUAGCGGAUGACCUGUGGCUGGGGGUGAAAGGCCAAUCAAACCGGGAGAUAGCUGGUUCUCCCCGAAAGCUAUUUAGGUAGCGCCUCGUGAAUUCAUCUCCGGGGGUAGAGCACUGUUUCGGCUAGGGGGCCAUCCCGGCUUACCAACCCGAUGCAAACUGCGAAUACCGGAGAAUGUUAUCACGGGAGACACACGGCGGGUGCUAACGUCCGUCGUGAAGAGGGAAACAACCCAGACCGCCAGCUAAGGUCCCAAAGUCAUGGUUAAGUGGGAAACGAUGUGGGAAGGCCCAGACAGCCAGGAUGUUGGCUUAGAAGCAGCCAUCAUUUAAAGAAAGCGUAAUAGCUCACUGGUCGAGUCGGCCUGCGCGGAAGAUGUAACGGGGCUAAACCAUGCACCGAAGCUGCGGCAGCGAACGUAU
rnacentral:rRNA from 1 species